rnacentral:rRNA from 2 species
UACAGAGGGGGCAAGCGUUGUUCGGAAUUACUGGGCGUAAAGGGCGCGUAGGCGGCCUGUUAAGUCGGACGUGAAAUCCCUCGGCUCAACCGGGGAACUGCGUCUGAUACUGGCGGGCUUGAAUUCGGGAGAGGGAUGUGGAAUUCCAGGUGUAGCGGUGAAAUGCGUAGAUAUCUGGAGGAACACCGGUGGCGAAGGCGGCAUCCUGGACCGACAUUGACGCUGAGGCGCGAAAGCCAGGGGAGCAAACGGG